rnacentral:rRNA from 1 species
GAUGAACGCUAGCUACAGGCUUAACACAUGCAAGUCGCGGGACCGGCGCACGGGUGAGUAACGCGUAUCCAACCUGCCCUUCACCACGGGAUAACCCGCCGAAAGUCGGACUAAUACCGUAUGGUGAAGGUUGGGGAGGCGUCCGCUUAGGUUGACGGCGGGGUAACGGCCCACCGUGGCUACGAUCGGUAGGGGUUCUGAGAGGAAGGUCCCCCGCACUGGAACUGAGACACGGUCCAGACUCCGACGGGAGGCAGCAGUGAGGAAUAUUGGUCAAUGGGCGUAAGCCUGAACCAGCCAAGUAGCGUGCAGGACGACGGCCUAUGGGGUGUAAACUGCUUUUAUGCGGGGAUAGGUACCGCAUGAAUAAGGACCGGCUAAUUCCGUGCCAGCAGCCGCGGUAAUAC